rnacentral:rRNA from 1 species
AGCGUAGACGGUGUGGCAAGUCUGAUGUGAAAGGCAUGGGCUCAACCUGUGGACUGCAUUGGAAACUGUCAUACUUGAGUGCCGGAGGGGUAAGCGGAAUUCCUAGUGUAGCGGUGAAAUGCGUAGAUAUUAGGAGGAACACCGGUGGCGAAGGCGGCCUGCUGGACAGUAACUGACGUUGAGGCUCGAAAGCGUGGGAGCAAACA